AACCUUAUGGACCUGCGGGCGUAUACCUGCGGAAGGAUCAUUAAUAAAUGUUACUUCGGUAACUUAAUUAAUCCCUAACACCUGUGCAUCUUGUCGCUUCGGCGUCAUUUUAUAAACAUCAGUGUAAUGAAUGUAAAGUAUUAUAACAAAUACAACUUUCAGCAACGGAUCU
rnacentral:misc_RNA from 1 species